rnacentral:tRNA from 1 species
GCUUUAGUAGUUUAACGAAAACGGUGGUCUUGUAAAUCACAAUUAGGGACUCCCCUCUAAAACU